GCCCAGGUGGUGGAAUUGGUAGACGCGCUGGCUUCAGGUGCCAGUGCCAGCAAUGGCGUGGAGGUUCGAGUCCUCUCCUGGGCACCA
rnacentral:tRNA from 1 species